AAUAUAAAUGAUGGCGACCGGCGCACGGGUGAGUAACACGUAUCCAACCUGCCGUUUACUCGGGGAUAGCCUUUCGAAAGAAAGAUUAAUACCCGAUGGCAUAUAUUGAUUUCAUGGUCUUUAUAUUAAAGAAUUUCGGUAAACGAUGGGGAUGCGUUCCAUUAGGCAGUUGGCGGGGUAACGGCCCACCAAACCUACGAUGGAUAGGGGUUCUGAGAGGAAGGUCCCCCACAUUGGAACUGAGACACGGUCCAAACUCCUACGGGAGGCAGCAGUGAGGAAUAUUGGUCAAUGGGCGUAGGCCUGAACCAGCCAAGUAGCGUGAAGGAUGACUGCCCUAUGGGUUGUAAACUUCUUUUAUAAGGGAAUAAAGUGGAGUAUGUAUACUCUUUUGUAUGUACCUUAUGAAUAAGGAUCGGCUAACUCCGUGCCAGCAGCCGCGGUAAUACGGAGGAUCCGAGCGUUAUCCGGAUUUAUUGGGUUUAAAGGGAGCGUAGGCGGAUGUUUAAGUCAGUUGUGAAAGUUUAAGGCUCAACCUUGAAAUUGCAGUUGAUACUGGACGUCUUGAGUGCAUUAAAUGUGGGCGGAAUUCGUGGUGUAGCGGUGAAAUGCUUAGAUAUCACGAAGAACUCCAAUUGCGAAGGCAGCUCACAGGACUGUAACUGACGCUGAUGCUCGAAAGUGUGGGUAUCAAACAGGAUUAGAUACCCUGGUAGUCCACACAGUAAACGAUGAAUACUCGCUGUUUGCGAUAUACAGUAAGCGGCCAAGCGAAAGCGUUAAGUAUUCCACCUGGGGAGUACGCCGGCAACGGUGAAACUCAAAGGAAUUGACGGGGGCCCGCACAAGCGGAGGAACAUGUGGUUUAAUUCGAUGAUACGCGAGGAACCUUACCCGGGCUUGAAUUGCUAAUGAAUAUAUAUGAAAGUAUAUAGCCGCAAGGCAUUAGUGAAGGUGCUGCAUGGUUGUCGUCAGCUCGUGCCGUGAGGUGUCGGCUUAA
rnacentral:rRNA from 1 species